GACGAACGCUGGCGGCGUGCCUAAUACAUGCAAGUCGAACGCAGUGGGGACGGGUGAGUAACACGUGGGUCACCUCCCAUCAGAGGGGAUAACACUUGGAAAAAGGUGCUAAACCGAUACUGAUGGAUGGUCCCGCGGUGCAUUAGCUAGUUGGUGAGGUAACGGCUCACCAAGGCAACGAUGCAUAGCCGACCUGAGAGGGUGAUCGGCCACAUUGGGACUGAGACACGGCCCAGACUCCUACGGGAGGCAGCAGUAGGGAAUCUUCGACAAUGGACGAAAGUCUGAUCGAGCAACGCCGCGUGAGUGAAGAAGGUUUUCGGAUCGUAAAGCUCUGUUGUUAGAGAAGCGGUAAUUAACCAGAAAGCCACGGCUAACUACGUGCCAGCAGCCGCGGUAAUUC
rnacentral:rRNA from 1 species